UUACGGCCGCAUCAAGUUGAAACACCUGAUCCUCUGCGAUCACAGAAGUUAAGCAAUGUCAAGCCUGAUUAGUAUCUAGAUGAGUGACCGCCUGGGAAUAACAGAUGCUGCAAG